rnacentral:rRNA from 1 species
UACAGAGACUGCAAGCGUUGUUCGGAUUCAUUGGGCGUAAAGGGUGCGCAGGCGGUGUGUUAAGUCGGAUGUGAAAUCUCACAGCCUAACUGUGAUAGGUCAUUCGAAACUGGCAUGCUCGAGGACUGGAGAGGAGACUGGAAUGGUCGGUGUAGCGGUGAAAUGCGUAGAGAUCGACCAGAACACCGGUGGCGAAGGCGGGUCUCUGGACCUACCCUGACGCUGAGGCGCGAAGGCGUGGGGAGCAAACGGG